CGGGGUGGGGCGGCGCUGUCAGCGCGAGGCGGCGAGCGGAAUGCAGCGGCCGGAGGCCUGGCCACGUCCGCACCCGGGGGAGGGGGCCGCGGCCGCCCCGGCCGGGGGCCCGGCGCCGCCCGCCCGAGGCCGGGAGCCCGCGGGGCUGCGGUUGCAGGAACCUUCCCUCUACACCAUCAAGGCUGUCUUCAUCCUAGAUAAUGACGGACACCGCCUGCUGGCCAAGUAUUACGACGACACAUUCCCCUCCAUGAAGGAGCAGAUGGCCUUCGAGAAAAAUGUCUUCAACAAGACCAGCCGGACUGAUAGUGAGAUUGCAUUUUUCGGCGGCAUGACCAUCGUCUACAAGAGCAGCAUUGACCUCUUCCUGUAUGUGGUGGGCUCAUCCUACGAGAACGAGCUGAUGCUCAUGUCUGUUCUUACCUGCCUGUUUGAGUCCCUGAACCAUGUGUUAAGUCCCCACAAGACUAAGGCUGGAGCCAGAGCAUCCUUCUGCAAGGACCCUGCCCUUUACCUGAUCAAGCAAUGGAAGAACGUGGAGAAGCGCUGGUUGCUGGAGAACAUGGACGGAGCCUUUCUGGUGCUGGACGAGAUUGUGGAUGGCGGUGUGAUUCUGGAGAGUGACCCCCAGCAAGUGAUCCAGAAAGUGAAUUUUAGGGCGGAUGACAGCGGCUUAACUGAGCACAGUGUGGCCCAGGUCUGUCUGCCCGGACUAAUUCUGCUUUUAUGGAGUUUCCUGCCCUGCCACUAACUACCUCCUGCUGUAAUGGCCCAAGCUCAGAUGGGCCUGUACCAUCCCACGUGGAGCCCCAGGUUCUUCAGUCUGCCAAGGAACAAAUUAAAUGGUCGUUACUGAAAUGAAGGCUGUGCAUUCAAGGCUCCCUGCCCCCAGACCAUUCCCCCAACCCUGGCAAAAGCACAAAGACCCCAGGGGACACCAGAGACCCCUCUAUAUCCCCAGGCCUUCCCAGAACUGACUCCCGAGGUCUCCGGCCAGGGACUCUGAGAUGCAGAGGUUUGGUUUCAACACUGAGUCACCCCUUCUCACUGUCCUGGCCUGCUCUUUGGGCCUUCAGAACCAGCUGAGCUGCCUUAACUCAGACCUUAGGCAUCCCUGGCCCCAGAGCCCAAAUAAACCUGCUUUUGUCUCCUGCCAA